UGGGGAAUUUUCCGCAAUGGGCGAAAGCCUGACGGAGCAAUGCCGCGUGGAGGUGGAAGGCCUACGGGUCGUCAACUUCUUUUCUCGGAGAAGAAACAAUGACGGUAUCUGAGGAAUAAGCAUCAGCUAACUCUGUGUCAG
rnacentral:rRNA from 1 species